rnacentral:rRNA from 1 species
AGAGUUGAUCAUGGCUCAGGAUGAACGCUAGCGAUAGGCCUAACACAUGCAAGUCGAGGGGCAGCACAUGAGUAGCAAUACGAUGGUGGCGACCGGCGCACGGGUGAGUAACACGUAUGCAACCUACCUUUAACAGGGGAAUAACCCGUUGAAAAACGGACUAAUACUCCAUAACACAGGGGUCCCGCAUGGGAAUAUUUGUUAAAAGAUUUAUCGGUUGAAGAUGGGCAUGCGUUCCAUUAGCUUGUUGGUGAGGUAACGGCUCACCAAGGCUACGAUGGAUAGGGGAACUGAGAGGUUUAUCCCCCACACUGGAACUGAGACACGGUCCAGACUCCUACGGGAGGCAGCAGUGAGGAAUAUUGGUCAAUGGAGGCAACUCUGAACCAGCCAAGUCGCGUAGAAGGAUGAAGGUCUUAUGGAUUGUAAACUUCUUUUGCAAGGGAAUAAAGUGGGGGACGUGUCCUCCUUUGCAUGUACCUUGCGAAUAAGGAUCGGCUAACUCCGUGCCAGCCGCGGC